CCUACGGGAGGCAGCAGUGGGGAAUAUUGGACAAUGGGCGCAAGCCUGACCCAGCAACGCCGCGUGAAGGAAGAAGGCUUUCGGGUUGUAAACUUCUUUUCUCAGGGACGAAGCAAGUGACGGUACCUGAGGAAUAAGCCACGGCUAACUACGUGCCAGCCGCCGCGGGAAUACGUAGGGGGCAAGCGUUAUCCGGAUUUACUGGGUGUAAAGGGCGUGUAGGCGGGAAAGCAAGUCAGAUGUGAAAACCAUGGGCUCAACCCGUGGCCUGCAUUUGAAACUGUUUUUCUUGAGUACUGGAGAGGCAGACGGAAUUCCUAGUGUAGCGGUGAAAUGCGUAGAUAUUAGGAGGAACACCAGUGGCGAAGGCGGUCUGCUGGACAGCAACUGACGCUGAGGCGCGAAAGCGUGGGGAGCAAACAGGAUUAGAUACCCUGGUAGUC
rnacentral:rRNA from 1 species